rnacentral:lncRNA from 1 species
CCCCCGCCGCCGCCUCCAUUGCCACCGGCCCGCGAGGCCUCGCCGCAGCCAAUCAGCGCGCGGCCUGUGCGGCCAAUCAGCGCGCGGAGCACGGGAGGACGCUGUCCGGCGGUUGGCAGAGAAACGCACAGAGUGGAGCCCAGGCGGAUUGUUGAAAUAAUUCCACAAAAAUGCCUCCAACUUUUCCGAGAAAUGAUCUACGGCACAUUAUUAUUUAACAACAGAACCACGGAUCUAAGAGCCUCAAAGAACACUGGGCAUACAGAAAGAAGUUAACAAAUAUAUGUGCUUCUAAUUCGAUCAAAAACAUAUCCAACCCUACUAUGUACGAGCCCAAAUCGCACUGAAGAUGCAGACAAAUUUAAAAUAUAAUACAUAUCUUGGGGCGCCUGGGUGGCUCAGUCGUUAAGCGUCUGCCUUCGGCUCAGGGCAUGAUCCCGGCGUUCUGGGAUCGAGCCCCGCAUCAGGCUCCUCCAUUGGGAGCCUGCUUCUUCCUCUCCCACUCCCCCUGCUUGUGUUCCCUCUCUCACUAGCUGUCUCUGUCAAA